rnacentral:rRNA from 1 species
UACGGGGGGAGCAAGCGUUGUUCGGAUUUACUGGGCGUAAAGGGCGCGUAGGCGGUCGUGACAAGUCACUUGUGAAAUCUCCGGGCUUAACUCGGAAAGGUCAACUGAUACUGUGCGGCUAGAGUGCGGAAGGGCAACUGGAAUUCUUGGUGUAGCGGUGAAAUGCGUAGAUAUCAAGAGGAACACCUGCGGCGAAGGCGGGUUGCUGGCCGACACUGACGCUGGAGGCGCGAAAGCCAGGGGAGCGAACGGG